UACGUAGGAUCCGAGCGUUGUCCGGAAUUACUGGGUGUAAAGGGUGCGUAGGCGGGCUUGUGCGUCAGAGGUUAAAUCCCACAGCUUAACUGUGGAACUGCCUUUGAUACGGCAAGUCUUGAGUGUGAGAGAGGAUGGUAGAAUUCUUGGUGUAGCGGUGAAAUGCGUAGAUAUCAAGAGGAAUACCCGUGGCGAAGGCGGCCAUCUGGCUCACUACUGACGCUGAGGCACGAAAGCGUGGGGAGCAAACAGG
rnacentral:rRNA from 1 species